UGGGAAUUGUUUCAUUUUGAC
rnacentral:piRNA from 1 species